UUGUCGUCAGCUCGUGUCGUGAGAUGUUGGUUAAGUCCCGCAACGAGCGCAACCCCUAUUGUUAGUUGCCAUCAUUCAGUUGGGCACUCUAGCGAGACUGCCGGUAAUAAACCGGAGGAAGGUGGGGAUGACGUCAAAUCAUCAUGCCCCUUAUGACCUGGGCUACACACGUGCUACAAUGGUUGGUACAACGAGUUGCGAGUCGGUGACGGCGAGCUAAUCUCUUAAAGCCAAUCUCAGUUCGGAUUGUAGGCUGCAACUCGCCUACAUGAAGUCGGAAUCGCUAGUAAUCGCGGAUCAGCACGCCGCGGCGAAUACGUUCCCGGGCCUU
rnacentral:rRNA from 1 species